GAUCCUUUGAGAAGACAGCACAUAAAGCAGUUCAGAGCUUGGAAAGUCAACAUUUUCUUCAGAAAAACCUCAAACAACUAAUAAAAUGCCUAAAAAACACGCGCACAGACAAGGUCGGCUCCGUAUUGAGAAACCUAAGAAACCUAAGAAAGAUUCAUCUGAGUCUGUGCCUCCUAAAAAACCAGUGUUGGCUCCCACGGAAAAACCUAAACUGGACAAAUCUUUUUUCCUCCUCGAUCCAAAAUGUUCAUCCAUUCCUCAUGGACCUUCUCAACACCAGGAACCUGUUAAAGAAACAGUAGCAGACAACAAGGCUCACAACCCAACGUCUGUUACAAAGAGUCGACUCGACUCUCAGCAGAUGGAAAUGACCGUCCUCCAACGUUCUCAGGUCCAAAAUGACACUUCUGUGGUUGACCAACUGAGGGAGGAAAAUGCCAAAUAUAAACUGUCUCUGAUCCAGUUCCAACAAGAAUCAGAGGCCCAACAGAAACAGAGGGACAAAGAAAAGGCCAGUUUAUUGGACAUACAGAAGGAGAAGGAGACCAUUUUGGAGCAACAAGGAAAGAUGAUUGACCAUCUCGAACAGACACUGGAGAAAUCAUCAGAAGACUUUGAGGUGCUGAAGGAGCAGUUGGCGACAGAAAAAGAUGCUCAACAACAUCAAACCAAUCUGCUGAUUGAACUCAAAGAAGAGGAAAUCUCCAACCUCAGCUUUUCAUUGGAAUCAGCUGAGCGUACGGUCUCCACCCAAGCCCUGGAACUGGAAAAUCAAGUUCAUCUGGAGGCUGAAAAUGUAAAUAUGAUUUCCACCUUGAAGGCGUCGCUCACCACUGAAGAGGAAAAGCUUGAAGAAACAAGAGAGAAAUGCAAGCAACUGAACGACGUCCAAAAACAGGACAAGGAGCUGAUCCACCUUCUUCAGACCAAGCUGAAGCUGAAGGAAAAAGAACUUCAAGAACAAUGCCUUCAGGCCAAAAACGAGCAGGAGAAGCUUCAAUUUGAAAUCACACAAUGUUUUGCUUCAAAACAAAAUAAUGUGUUUAAAACACAACUCAGCAUCAACAUGAGUGAAUCUGAGGAAGAUCCUCCAACAACAAAGUCUGUGUUUAGGCGUUUCAUCAACUUUCUGAUGAAGGGAUGGCAGAAGAUAAAAAAGUUCUUCACGGAUAUCAUCAGAAGAUAGAAGACACAGACUUGGAGCAAAAUAUGGACUGGAAGUUUAGUUUAAUACUGACUAGUAGAGUUUAUUAGCAGUGGCGGCUGGCCAAUAGAGGACGCUAGGGCGCCGCCCCACCACUUACCAUGAUUUGUUUGAGUGAGACAU
rnacentral:lncRNA from 1 species